rnacentral:tRNA from 1 species
GGGCCCGUGGGGUAGCUUGGUAUCCUUGUGGCUUCGGGAGCCAUAGACUUGAGUUCGAAUCUCAGCGGGCCCA